AUUGAACGCUGGCGGCAUGCUUUACACAUGCAAGUCGAGCGGCAGCGCGGGGGCAACCCUGGCGGCGAGCGGCGAACGGGUGAGUAAUAGAUAGGAACGUGUCCGGGAGUGGGGGAUAACUAGCCGAAAGGUUAGCUAAUACCGCAUAUUCUCCAUGGAGGAAAGCGGGGGAUUCUAGAAACUAGGUUCUAGAACUAGGGGCUAGACUGAAGUUACGCGCGCAGGGCGCGCCAAAUUCAAGUCUAGUUUCCAGUCUCUAGUAUCUAGUUUCUAGAACCUCGCGCUUCUGGAGUGGCCUAUCUCCGAUUAGCUAGUUGGUGAGGUAAAGGCUUACCAAGGCGACGAUCGGUAGCUGGUCUGAGAGGAUGAUCAGCCACACUGGGACUGAGAC
rnacentral:rRNA from 1 species